rnacentral:rRNA from 1 species
AUUGAACGCUGGCGGCAGGCCUAACACAUGCAAGUCGAACGCGUGGCGGACGGGUGAGUAAUGUCUGGGAAACUGCCCGAUGGAGGGGGAUAACUACUGGAAAAAGUAGCUAAUACCGCCUACCAUCGGCUGUCCUCAGAUGGGAUGAGCUAGUAGGUGGGGUAACGGCUCACCUAGGCGACGAUCCCUAGCUGGUCUGCGAGGAUGACCGGACAAGCUGGACGGGAGACACGGUCCAGACAGCUGCGGGAGGCAGCAGUGGUGAAUAUUGCAGAGUGGGCGCAAGGCGGAUGGAGCCAUGCCGGGUGUAUGAUGAAGGCCUUCGGGUUGUAAAGUACAUUCAGCGAGGAGGCUGUACUCGCAGAAGAAGCACCGGCUAACUCCGAGCCAGCAGCGGCGGUAGUAC